GCUGGUACACGAGGGAUGCAGAACAGAAGCUUUUUGGAUGGGAUCUGAAAAAGCAAGACACGAAUGAAGAGCAGCAGGAGAUGCAUGGAGAAGGAUCUAACUGCCUAUUUUUCACAAGGAUGUCUAAACGAACAAAACUUGGAGAAGCAGAACCUUCUCACACACAGUGCCUCACAGCAUGACAGAAACCAUCUCCUGAAAUUCCUGCCUGCCUUCUUGCUGCAGUUCUUUCUGAGACAAAAAUGCAAACUUGAGGAUAUGGCCAGGCCCCCAACCCCCAGCCUGACCAAGAAGAGACACAGGCGCUGCUGGUCCCAGAACAAUCCCGGCUAUGAAUAUCCUUCUGAUGGGUACCCCCAUCAACCAUCCAUCCCCCAACUUUGGAGGGCACAGCAGUCAGUAAGGAGCCUGUUAAAAGGCAGAUUCCAGGGAACUGGACCCAGGACGUCUGGCAUGAGGCCCAGAAGCUGA
rnacentral:lncRNA from 1 species